GUCGGGGUAGCUCAGCUUGGUGGAGCGCUAGACUCAUAAUCUAGAGGUCGCGGGUUCAAACCCCGUCCCCGACA
rnacentral:tRNA from 1 species